rnacentral:rRNA from 1 species
AUUGAACGCUGGCGGCAUGCCUUACACAUGCAAGUCGAACGGUAACAGGUCUUCGGAUGCUGACGAGUGGCGAACGGGUGAGUAAUACAUCGGAACGUGCCCAGACGUGGGGGAUAACGAGGCGAAAGCUUUGCUAAUACCGCAUACGAUCUAAGGAUGAAAGCAGGGGACCGCAAGCCCUUGCUCGUUUGGAGCGGCCGAUGGCAGAUUAGGUAGUUGGUGGGAUAAAAGCUUACCAAGCCGACGAUCUGUAGCUGGUAUGCAGGGACGACCAGCCACACGGGGACUGAGACAGGGCCCCGACUCCUACAGGAGGCAGCGGUGGGGAAUUUUGGACGAGGGACGAAAGCCUGAUCCUGCAAAGCCGCGUGCAGGAUGAAGGCCUUCUGGUUGGAAACUGCUUUUGUACGGAGCGAAAAGGCUCUGGCUAAUACCUGAGGCACAUGACGGUACCGUAAGAAUAAGCACCGGCUAACUACGUG